ACAGCGAUAGCUCAGCUGGUGGAGCAUCUGCCCGGUAUGCGGAGGGUCGCCGGUUGGAUUCCGGCUCGCGGCG
rnacentral:tRNA from 1 species